GCAACGAGCGCAACCCACGUCUUUAGUUGCCAGCAUUCAGUUGGGCACUCUAGAGAGACCGCCGGUGAUAAACCGGAGGAAGGUGUGGAUGACGUCAAGUCAUCAUGCCCCUUACAUCCUGGGCUACACACGUACUACAAUGCUACGGACAAAGGGCAGCAAACUCGCGAGAGCUAGCAAAUCCCAUAAACCGUGGCUCAGUUCAGAUCGUAGGCUGCAACUCGCCUACGUGAAGGAGGAAUCGCUAGUAAUCGCAGGUCAGCAUACUGCGGUGAAUACGUUCCCGGGCCUUGUACACACCGCCCGUCACACCAUGAAGUGGCCAUG
rnacentral:rRNA from 1 species